rnacentral:tRNA from 1 species
UGGAAUAGCUCAGUCGGUAGAGCAAUUGAUUCGUAAUCAAUAGGUCGCGUGUUCAAGUCACGUUUCC